rnacentral:ncRNA from 2 species
UGGAAUGCGCGAUGUGACGGUGCUCUGAUCGGUGCAAGCCGGUACGAGCUAAGAGGGAACACGGUAAGACGUAAGUCGAUGCCGUGGCUGCGCCCGCAACUGUAAACGGCAAGUCGUCUCCACAUUACGCCACUGAUAUUCCGCAUCGGAAAAUUGGGAAGGCAGGAGACAGACGUUCGAGCCGUGAGCCAGGAGACCUGCCGACACAAGUCGCCCAUC